rnacentral:rRNA from 1 species
CCGAAAGGUGGGGGUGCCUUCGGGAACCGGGAGACAGGUGGUGCAUGGCUGUCGUCAGCUCGUGUCGUGAGAUGUUGGAUUAAGUUCCGCAACGAGCGCAACCCUUACGCCUAGUUGCCAGCAUUCAGUUGGGGACUCUAGGCGGACUGCCAGUGUAUAACUGGAGGAAGAUGGGGACGACGUCAAGUCAGCAUGCCCCUUAUGCCCAGGGCUACACACGUGCUACAAUGGCCGGUACAGCGGGUUGCCACACAGCGAUGUGGAGCUAAUCCCUUAAAACCGGCCCCAGUUCGGAUUGGAGGCUGCAACUCGCCUCCAUGAAGUCGGAAUCGCUAGUAAACGUGGAUCAGAAUGCCGCGUUGAAUACGUUCCCGGGCCUUGUACACACCGCCCGUCACACCACCCGAGUCUG